rnacentral:rRNA from 1 species
AGAGUUUGAUCCUGGCUCAGGAUGAACGCUAGCGGCAGGCCUAAUACAUGCAAGUCGAACGGGUGGUAGCAAUACCACUAGUGGCGCACGGGUGCGUAACGCGUAACCAACCUGCCCUUGACUGGGGGAUAGCCCGCCGAAAGGCGGAUUAAUACCGCAUAAACUCACAGUGUGGCAUCACACAAUGAGUAAAGAUUUAUUGGUCAAGGAUGGGGUUGCGUGACAUUAGCUAGUUGGCGGGGUAACGGCCCACCAAGGCGACGAUGUCUAGGGGACCUGAGAGGGUGAUCCCCCACACUGGCACUGAGAUACGGGCCAGACUCCUACGGGAGGCAGCAGUAGGGAAUAUUGGGCAAUGGGCGAGAGCCUGACCCAGCCAUGCCGCGUGCCGGAUGAAGGCCUUCUGGGUUGUAAACGGCUUUUCUCAGGGAAGAAAAAGGGCAUGCGUGCUCAACUGACGGUACCUGAGGAAUAAGCACCGGCUAACUCCGUG